ACCCCCAUCGUUUAGCGAACAAAGACGCUGGCCUUUCACGCCGGAAACACGGGUUUGAAUCCCGUUGGGGGUACCA
rnacentral:tRNA from 1 species